UCCCUGGUGGUCCAGUGGCUAAGACUCUGAGCUCCCAGUGCAGGGGCCCGGGUUCAAUUCCUGGUCAGGGAA
rfam:Ovis aries breed Texel chromosome 2, whole genome shotgun sequence.